rnacentral:rRNA from 1 species
GACGAACGCUGGCGGCGUGCUUAAUACAUGCAAGUCGAACGGACAGACCCUGCUCUUGCUGGGUUCACGUGAGGCGAACGGGGGAGUAACACGUGAGUAUACCGUCCUUGUAUUAGUGAUAACACCUGGGAACUGGGGCUCAUAUCCCGUAUGAGAUACUGCUGCACGUGGUGGGAUGGUGAAUUUCGGCGGUUCGGGAUGGAUUGGCAGCUUAUCCGCUUGUUGGUGUGGUAGUGGCUUACAAAGGCUUUGACGGCUAGCCGGCCUGAGAGGGUUGCCGGCCACAUUGGGACUGCGAUACGGCCCAGACUCCUACGGGAGGCAGCAGUGGGGAAUAUUGCACAAUGGGCGGAAGCCUGAUGCAGCAACGCCGCGUGCGGGAUGACGGCCUUCGGGUUGUAAACCGCUUUCGCCUGUGACGAAGAGUGAGUGACGGUAAUGGGUAAAGAAGCACCGGCUAACUACGUG